CCAGAGAUGGAUUCGUGCUCGAAAGAGAGCCAUAACACAGGUGCUGCAUGGCUGUCGUCAGCUCGUGUCGUGAGAUGUUGGUUAAGUCCCGCAACGAGCGCAACCCUUGUCAUUAGUUGCUACAUUUGGUUGGGCACUCUAAUGAGACUGCCGGUGACAAACCGGAGGAAGGUGGGGAUGACGUCAAGUCCUCAUGGCCCUUAUAGGUGGGGCUACACACGUCAUACAAUGGCCGGUACAAAGGGUCGCAAACCCGCGAGGGGGAGCCAAUCCAUCAAAGCCGGUCGUAGUCCGGAUCGCAGUCUGCAACUCGACUGCGUGAAGUCGGAAUCGCUAGUAAUCGUGGAUCAGCAUGUCACGGUGAAUACGUUCCCGGGUCUU
rnacentral:rRNA from 1 species